rnacentral:tRNA from 1 species
GAGUGCGUAGCUCAGUUGGUAGAGCAACGGACUUUUAAUCCGUAGGUCCCGGGUUCAAGUCCCGGCGCACUCA